UACGAGGGGGGCGAGCGUUGUUCGGAAUUAUUGGGCGUAAAGGGUGCGUAGGCGGUUUGGUAAGUCUUAUGUGAAAUCUACAGGCUCAACUUGUAGUCUGCAUGAGAAACUGCCGGGCUUGAGUGUGGGAGAGGUGAGUGGAAUUCCUGGUGUAGCGGUGAAAUGCGUAGAUAUCAGGAGGAACACCGGUGGUGUAGACGGCUGACUGGACCACGACUGACGCUGAGGCACGAAAGCGUGGGUAGCAAACAGG
rnacentral:rRNA from 1 species